rnacentral:rRNA from 1 species
GUAGUCUGCAACUCGACUACAUGAAGCUGGAAUCGCUAGUAAUCGCGAAUCAGAAUGUCGCGGUGAAUACGUUCCCGGGUCUUGUACACACCGCCCGUCACACCAUGGGAGUCGGAAAUGCCCGAAGUCAGUGACCUAACCGAAAGGAGGGAGCUGUCGAAGGUGGAGCCGAUAACUGGGGUGAAGUCGUAACAAGGUACC